GCGCAUCUGAAAUCAAGAAAUAAUUGCUGUAAAACGUCGCUGAGAAGUAUCUUCAAUUAUCCCUAAUGAUUUCAAGAAGGCAAUUGAAUUAUGGACCUCUUUGCAAGAAUAAAACAAAUUGGCUGAUUUCACAUAGAAGAUAUUAGUAAGAGGCAUAGCUUGUUAUUUUUCUUCAGAUAUUGCUUCAGGUGUAUCAGAAUUUUUGUAUACAUCUAUCGCAAACAGUAAUAAAAUGGCUGCCUGUGUUGUUUAAAUAACGAGAAUGGCGUCAACGACACCGAUAAGCACAUUAAGUUUUCAUCGAAGCGACUAACGAGCGCUGCUAACAUCGAGUCAGUAUAAAUUUAGGCAAGCUCAUUGGAAAACUGUAUCAAGAUGAACUAGUUCAAUGUUUUUGCGCUGAAAGUAUGCACACUCAAAUAUUUUCGAUAUUUCAUGGCAGAAUAACAAAGAAAAAAAGACGAUGACGUGAGCGUUGUUUAACCAGCAAAACUUAGAGAUAAGCGUACAAGGACUCAUAGAGAUUAUCAGCCCCAGCCUGCGACUCACAUCCUGUUUCCAUCGCGAGACAAACUGCGACACACCCACUGUUCCGAGAACGUCGAACUUCGCCACCAAUUUCCAGUCGAAUCGAAAGCAACGCGUGUGGGAUAUUCGCGAGAUCGUGUAGUUUCCACACUUCUAUUCACAACUGUACAAUUACUCUCUAGUCAAGAGUGGGAAACGAAACGUAUCGACGUCGAAAUCGUCGACGAUUCGACACUGAUAAUAUCGCAGACCUCGCGAAAUUUUCAACUAACGUCCGUGUAAAUACUUUAUACACGUUCGCCUUUCAAUAAUCGCAUGCAACACCAACGAUACAUUCCUUUCUAUUUGUUUAUCUCUGUCCGAUACUCUCCCCUGGGCGAUGUAAAAUCACGAUAUAGCGAACAAACUGUCACGUGCUUAUCGAAUCGGCGAGAUUUGCGCACGUGAACCUGUGAUGAUCGGCAAAACGGUACUGAUUGUCAAUCAAGUUCUCGGCAAAGCGACCGGCUUCGAAGCCGAAGAACAGAAGCCUGGAGGAGGCAAGCUGGUCUGGAGAAGGAGAAGGAACAGGAGAUGGAGGGAGUAUUCUCACAACAAGGGAAGUAGAAACUCGAGGCUGGUUCACGAAGACAAGGAAAACCAACCUAGCCAGUUACGAAGAAAUGGUUCGCGGGUAGAACCUGAACUAGACAGCUACUUCUGAAUCGGAUGGAUGUACUCUUUCGCGGAAAUUGAAAUGUUCCUUGAAUUGGACCGUCGAUAUUGUAACUUAAAGGUUAGAAAACGAUAAGAAAACGAAUAUAAUAAUUCAAAUAUUGCGUCCUUGCUUUGUCGAUAAAGUAGAUAUUUAAGGGAAAGAUCUAGUUCGUGUUGACUUUGAAUCAAUAUAACAACGCGUUUGAAUGAAAUUCGUGGUUGGCAGGAAGCCUACCGAGCUCCCCGGAUCUAUUUUAUACUGCUGAAUCAUACAGUCAAUUUGGACAUUAAUAUUGCGCGAUAUGCGUAACGCACUUUCGUCAUAAAUUUCAGUGAAAUUGGACAAGUACGAUAAUGACUUUAGACACUUAAUAAAUCAUAUAGAAGUAUUACAGUCGCAGCGUGCGUGUCGUUGGAUCGUUGCCAAACGAGCCGGUGUAAUCGGCGAUACAGGUCUCGUAAUGUCGGUCAUAGUCAUAUCACUGUGUUUUCAACGACAUGACACUAAAUCAAAUGACACUAGAAAUUGGAGUUUAAUAUAUCACCGAAGAACAGAAUGAGAAUUGAAAUUUUAAGAGUGUAAUCCUUAUGAUUAACUCGAGAGUAACCUAUCCAAACAUUGAUGAUGAUAUGAAGACUGAUCUCCGGUUCUGUUUACGAACAGAGAGACACAAACACGAAUGAGGAACGACAACGGUUAUACGGUUCUAAUUUGGUUAAUGAAAAUAUUCGAAACAUUCUAUACAUACAAUAGAUCUCCUUCCCUGACAAUUAUUACUUAGUAUGUACUUACUCUUUUGGUACGAUUAUACACACAUACAGAUAAACAUUUAUCUUGUAGACAUAAUUAUAUUAUUUAAUAAUGACGUAAUGCUUUGACACUUCAGAUAAUUGUUAUUGUAUUACAAUUAAUCUAUAUGAUUACAAAAAAUGAAAUUAAAUUAUUUCAUACCACAUUAAAUUAUCGCCACGUGCAAGUGUCGAAGGUAAUGAGCAAACGAAGAUAUGAUGGCUAGGAGGCACGUAUGUGUUGCGAGAUCAGGUAGGACUGCCAGCACGUGUUUUCUCAGUUUGCAUCUACAGAAUCUGUGUUACGUGAACCCAUCUCCUCCUUCCUUUGUCCCUCUUCUCCUUCCUCCCUCUUUUCAACCUCGUUGUUCUUCGUCUCUGUUUCGCACCUUCUUUCAUGUGAUGCUUAUAUAUGUUUACAUCUAGAUUCAUGACGACAAAAUACCCAAGAAUAACUUCGACCACCUAUCAUCUUUUGCCACGGUUUUCUCUUACUAUUUUGAAUUUUGUACUUCCUUCGGGAGAGUGGUAUCUUCCAAUCAGAGGAUUUACGAAUUUGUUCGUAACACAAGAGUAAAAAAAUUGUAGAUCGUUUUGUGAAAAUAAAAUGGAUCACGUUGAUCCUAUUCGAGUCAUGUAUGCCAGUCGUAAGCGUAGGAAGCUAAAUCACACACUGUCGUGCCUCAUAUGGAUAUGUAUAAAUCAAACCAAGGUUCGUUCAAGGAAGAGAUGCCUACGCACACAUUGGAUCAUUAUAUGAGCUUUUAUGCAAUGGAAUGCGUGAUAAAUAAGCGCAGUUUCCUGUAUCUCUAAAAAAGCUAGUGCAUUACGACUAGAAAUGUAAUAAUCCAUAUUGGUGAUAACAACUUUCAUAUUGCUGUUCAUCGUAUAAGCAGAGCUAUUGUAUUCAUCGUAUAAACAUAUACAUACAUAUGUUUGACUUCUUUAUGAAACUCAUAUAAAAUAAAUUACUAAAUUAUUUGGCAAGAAAAAAUUAGUAGUGCAUAUAAAUAUGCAUUUAUAAGUCUUUCACAUUAGAAAUGGAAAAAGAAUCUUUAAGAAUUAAUAAUUAUGUACAUAAUGACAGAAGCACUACCGAUAAAAUUGAUCCCUUGUGUCGAUAUAUCAGUAUCUUGUCUCCUGUGUGAUCAAACAGAUGACGCCACUCGAAAAAUCGACCCAAUAUUUUUAAUUCAAAUUUCUUUCGAAACAAAUAGAAAUGAACUAUGUAUCACAUUUUUUAUAGAUUUCCAUAAAAAGAUCAUCCGUAAAUAAUGACUUCGAGAAUUAUUUCAGAAAGUUUAGUGUCAAGGCGACCCACAUUGUAGGUGAAAGGUAUUCCAAAAAAAAUGAUGUGAUCUGUUGCAUCAUGAGUCAUCCCUUCAGACCGAAUUAAAUGUGCAUUUUAAAAAUAAUUUAAAUCCACAUAUAGUGUGAUUGCACAUGCGAAAAAGUCGAAACAUGUACACUUUUUAAUUUUAGAAGAUUUCUUUAAAAAAUGUUUCAAAUAAUAAUUAAUUUCAAUCAAUAAUUAAUUUUUUUAAUUUAUAGGAGUAGUUUUUUCAUAAAUUACGAAAACGAUUUAGAGUUCCGUAUCUUUAAGGUUGGCUACUUUAUGUAUUAACCUUUGAAAAUAUGCCAGAGGUUCAUUUCCGCCAACGAUUCAAGACUAUUAUAAAUUUAUCAAAACAUGAAAUGGUAAAUUAGUAAGCAGUAAAUUAGUUACUGAAAAAUAGUAAGUAAAAAAGACAUACGCGAAUAAAAUUAACCCACCCUUUUAUAUUUAUAAAUGUAAUCUAACUAAAAUGUAAACUAGCUAAUUUUAAUAAUUACUUAUAUUUAUAAAACCAUUUAAGGAUGGCACGACUAAUUCAUCCCUUUCAAAACGUUUUAACGCACUCUAUGAACUGACGAAAAAUGAUACCGUCAGAAGCAAUUGAGCUUAAUUUAAAAGUUCGUAUUACGUUAUCGCGCAAAGUUGCGUGAACACAACCAACGCAGACAUAGAUACUAAAUCGAUAUAUUAACUAAUGUCUCCAAUUUUAAUUCCAUGAAAAGAAAGCAUAUCAAGAAUAAUUUUUAAUUAGUAAUCCAGACCGGUAUUCUAAUUACAUAUGCAAAAAGGUCGCAUAUAUGCACGUAUGCAUCCGUAAUCAUUAGAAAUAAUUUCAUAUCAUCGUUCCAUUUUAAAGUUAUAGUACAAAGCAUUAAAAUCACGCAAAAUUAAAAGGGUUAAAAACAUAAAAAGAAUUAUCGACUCACAUCCUGGUGGUGAACCUUUUGUGAUGGUGAUUUUAUAGGGCUGAUAAAUAGCGCUUGGUUCUACUUUUCCGUACAUUGUUCGAUCCAUAGCCAUUUUUUUUUUUUUUUUUUAACGUACCACUUGAAAAUAUAAUCACACUUAUAUCAGUUUACUUAUUUUAUGUCAGUUCAUACGGAAUCACGAAUUCAUCGCGUACAAGCAUGUAUGCUAUUAUGUAGCACUUUUACUGCGGUAAUGCUUCUCUUCACUGUCUAUCGCGAACGACCGAGCUGUGUAGACGAUCGAUUAGUGGUGGGGAUGAUGCACACACCACACGACCACUUGUUGAAUGCCGUCGGUGAAUUUUAUACAUACGAAUCCACAAAUAGGAGAAUAAUCUACUAGGUUUAAAAAACAGAAAAGAAAAGAGCAUCAAAGAAUGAAUUUUCACCGCUUGUUGAAAUACAACAGAAUAAGAAUCGUGGUAUCAAUACUCUGUGAAUAGAGUGAAUUCGACGGGAGGAAAACAAGAAGUUCAAAUGUACAAGUGUAUUUCAGGCGCUCGCCCGCACUCACGACUUCCAUCCUCUCCGAGCAAUGCUAAAACAAGAGGACAACGGUGCCGUGAAAUAUACUAAAAAUACGUAGAAUCGUUGGCACACGAUAACCCAGAGCGCACUUGCGAUAUUAUGCGGAUUUUGGAAAAUCUCUUCCGGUAUAAAUAAAUACACCACGUGCAACCACCCGUACUUCUCAAAUUUUUCGCAGCUUUUUAAAUUAACUUAAAAGCUUUUAUUUAUAGAGGUGCUUAGAAAUUCUAAUUUUAUUCAAAAAUAGAGAUCAUUACAUCGCAAUUGCGUAAUUUUAUCUCAAAAUAAUAAUCGAUGAUAGUAACGCUACUUAUUAACAUUAUAGUUUGUACUUGAAGGUAUAAAUACGUAAUGAUAUAAACUCAUUGCGAUCGCAUAUGAUUAUAACAAACAUAUAAUUAACACUGAUUAUAUAGAUAUUAUAAGUGAUGCGUUAAGCAAAUCAAGAUGGAAAAAUUUGUGGAAAAAGAUUUAUAAUUAAAACCUGUAUCGCGAUUAAUAAAGUUACUGGGGAUGAACGAA